rnacentral:ncRNA from 2 species
CGACGUCGUGCGGGAGAGACCGGGUUGCGCUAGGGGCCCGGCACCGAAGGAGCAAUUCCUCCCCGGAACCUCUCAGGUACCCAGGACCGCACGAAGAAG